GCUCUUUCUUAAUUUUGUGUCAGCUUCUAUAUUGGGCAAUCUUAUACUGGGCUGCUGUAGGGAUUGUGACACGUGAUUCCAUUUUUAUCUUGUUUGCAUUGAGCAAGAAAGGCAGUCUAGAAAUACUUAAAUAAACAGACAACAGUUUAUCUGCAGAGGCACUAUCUGGAAGGUAAACCUUGUACAUCAUUUUAGCCAAAUCCCUUGGCUCAAAGAUUCCUUUCAUGCAAGCAGAUAUAAAUAUCCAAUGACGUGAGAUAUGGUUCUUGCACCAAAAGUUUGCGUAUAAUAUCAACCCAGGAAUACUCAUCAUACCCUAAAGGAAAAUAACAUCUGUAGACCAACAAGAUAGAUCUUCCCUUCCCUGAGAAUCUCUUGAAGCACUGCUGGUAGCUGGUGCUUAGACUAGAUGAACAAAUUCAAUGCAGGUUCUUCAUAUCAAUCAUUCACAUUCUUCACAGCAUUUUUCCUAACGGCUAUGAACAUGACUUGCACAUUUAUAUAGAUAAGUAAUUUCCACCCACUCUCUAUAAUCAGCUGUGAAUGUUAACACAGUUUGAAUGAAGCCUACUCAACAUUUAUGUUUAAAAUGUAUCAUAUCUAUUUAAAAGCCAAAAUUCCCCUACUUUUUAAUAUAAAGGGAAAAAAGAGUUAAAGCACUGGUAGUAUUUCAGAAUAUUUACUGUUUGUUUAUUUGAGGCCCUCAAUCUACCCUUCCUUGCUCAAACAUCUCCAAUCAUCCACACACAAUUUGAGUUUGUGAUACUGUGGCAAGGCUUGGGGGAGGGGGGGCAACUACCUGGGUCCCACAUGUCUGAGGGUCCUCAAUGUAUUUGUAUUGCCUAAGAUAAACACUACUUGAAAUUCAAAUGUGACCUAGCACCUUUGAAUUUCAGGCAGUGUUUGACAGACUUAAAACAGGAAGCCUAUUUAUCUAACUAGUGAACUGGCAUUCAUGGUUAUUAAUUAACUUAUAAUCAUUAAAUUCUAUAUAAUGUUAUAGAAUACAUUUACAGUGCAAUCCUGAGCAUAGUUACUCUGGCCUAAGCCAAUUGGUUUCAAUGAGUUUAGACGGAAAUAACUCGGCUUAGGAUUGUAUUGUUAGUAUGCUAAUAUUCUAUGUAUUGAAAUAGUCUGUUAUCUACUGACAAUAUUUGGGGGAAUGCCGAAGACUAUGUUUUACCUUGAGUACCUCUCUACAGCCCUGGAUGAUAUUACUGAUAGCUUCCUGCCUUUACUUUGUUUAAUACUGUACCUUGUAUAACACUAUACCAUGUUUUCACCCAAGCAUGUAUGCUGAGGUUCUCUUUUCUCCUUCUAGUUUCUCCACUAGGGCAAAUCUGCAUACAAUAGCUCUUGGCAGCUCCAUACUGUGAGCAUUCAUAUUCUAGUGGGAAUUACAGUUCUCCUCAACAUACUGAGGAUCCUUGGCAGAUAAACCCAUAUCAAAUCAGCUAUAAUCAAGAAAAUCAGGAGCAAGCUAUGUUGAAACAAAUACAGCCAUUCAUAACAAAACUUAUUAGGAAAGAAUGGAAAAAAAUUGAAGAAAGAAGCUUGAAGGGAAACAAACCAGAUGCAUAUUUUGAUAUAAGUAUAUAUCGUCUGAUAUAUAUUUACUGAGCUGGAAGUUGGACUAGAUGGCCUACAAGACCCCUUCGAACAUUAUGAUUUUAUCUCAGUCACUGUUAGACUGGACUCUAUUUCUGUAUAGCUUACAUGCUGAGCGCACAGGGUCAGAUUCCCCCACGCUUCUGUGAAACAUAACAAAAGGAGAGGGGAGUGACUAUACCGGGGGGAGAGAGUUAAAUGAAAAAAUUCUAAGCAAUUAUUUUAUUGGAUCAGUAUGAACAGUUGGGUAUUAAUAGUGUUAUUAUCAUAAGGUUUAUAAGGAUAGAAUUUAAUAAAUUUUUAUGCUAGUAGAUAACUGUAUAAUGGAGAAUGAAUAUAUAUUAGCAUACAGAAUGUGGGUCUAAUUGAUAGACUUAUGCUGAACGUGUACAUGAAUUGUUUAUUUUUGCUGGACAGUUUUAUAAUGGAGAAAUUAGUUAAUUGAAAUAGACAAGAUAUGUAAAAGAAAGUAAAGAGCAACAUAUAGAGUAUAAGUCAAACUAUAAAAGUAUGCAAGGUUUAUAGAAGUAUUUGAAGUUAUGCAUAAGGAGGGACAAAUUGUUUGUCCCAUCUUGAAGUAAUUAGAAAGAUUAAGAUAGAACACACACUAUCAACAUGAUUAUUAUUAUUGAAGAGGAUAAGUUAAGAGGGUUAUAUUUUUACCCACUUGGGAAGGGGAUCAGAGAUAACACUAUGUUACUAUAGAUAAGCUUAGAGGAGUUUGAAAGUAUAUUACAAUAAGUAUAAUAAAUUUGAAAUGAGUAGAGGGAGAAUA